UUAAGCGACUAAGCGUACACGGUGGAUGCCCUGGCAGUCAGAGGCGAUGAAGGACGUGCUAAUCUGCGAAAAGCGUCGGUAAGGUGAUAUGAACCGUUAUAACCGGCGAUGUCCGAAUGGGGAAACCCAGUGCAAUUCGUUGCACUAUCGUUAACUGAAUACAUAGGUUAACGAGGCGAACCGGGGGAACUGAAACAUCUAAGUACCCCGAGGAAAAGAAAUCAACCGAGAUUCCCCCAGUAGCGGCGAGCGAACGGGGAGCAGCCCAGAGUCUGAAUCAGCUUGUGUGUUAGUGGAACGGUCUGGAAAGUCCGACGGUACAGGGUGAUAGUCCCGUACACCAAAAUGCACAGGUUGUGAACUCGAAGAGUAGGGCGGGACACGUGGUAUCCUGUCUGAAUAUGGGGGGACCAUCCUCCAAGGCUAAAUACUCCUGACUGACCGAUAGUGAACCAGUACCGUGAGGAAAGGCGAAAAGAACCCCGGCGAGGGAGUGAAAAGAACCUGAAACCGUGCAUACAAGCAGUGGGAGCACCUUCGGGUGUGACUGCGUACCUUUGUAUAAUGGGUCAGCGACUUAUAUUCUGUAGCAAGGUUAACCGUAUAGGGAGCCGCAGGGAAACCGAGUCUUAACUGGGCGUUAAGUUGCAGGGUAUAGACCCGAAACCCGGUGAUCUAGCCAUGGGCAGGUUGAAGGUUGGGUAACACUAACUGGAGGACCGAACCGACUAAUGUUGAAAAAUUAGCGGAUGACUUGUGGCUGGGGGUGAAAGGCCAAUCAAACCGGGAGAUAGCUGGUUCUCCCCGAAAGCUAUUUAGGUAGCGCCUCGUGAACUCAUCUUCGGGGGUAGAGCACUGUUUCGGCUAGGGGGUCAUCCCGACUUACCAACCCGAUGCAAACUACGAAUACCGAAGAAUGUUAUCACGGGAGACACACGGCGGGUGCUAACGUCCGUCGUGAAGAGGGAAACAACCCAGACCGCCAGCUAAGGUCCCAAAGUCAUGGUUAAGUGGGAAACGAUGUGGGAAGGCACAGACAGCCGGAUGUUGGCUUAGAAGCAGCCAUCAUUUAAAGAAAGCGUAAUAGCUCACUGGUCGAGUCGGCCUGCGCGGAAGAUGUAACGGGCUAAACCAUGCACCGAAGCUGCGGCAGCGACACUAUGUGUUGUUGGGUAGGGAGCGUUCUGUAAGCCUGCGAAGGUGUGCUGUGAGGCAUGCUGGAGGUAUCAGAAGUGCGAAUGCUGACAUAAGUAACGAUAAAGCGGGUGAAAAGCCCGCUCGCCGGAAGACCAAGGGUUCCUGUCCAACGUUAAUCGGGGCAGGGUGAGUCGACCCCUAAGGCGAGGCCGAAAGGCGUAGUCGAUGGGAAACAGGUUAAUAUUCCUGUACUUGGUGUUACUGCGAAGGGGGGACGGAGAAGGCUAUGUUAGCCGGGCGACGGUUGUCCCGGUUUAAGCAUGUAGGCUGGUUAUCCAGGCAAAUCCGGAUAAUCAAGGCUGAGGUGUGAUGACGAGGCACUACGGUGCUGAAGUAACAAAUGCCCUGCUUCCAGGAAAAGCCUCUAAGCAUCAGGUAACAUCAAAUCGUACCCCAAACCGACACAGGUGGUCAGGUAGAGAAUACCAAGGCGCUUGAGAGAACUCGGGUGAAGGAACUAGGCAAAAUGGUGCCGUAACUUCGGGAGAAGGCACGCUGAUAUGUAGGUGAAGCCCCUGCGGGUGGAGCUGAAAUCAGUCGAAGAUACCAGCUGGCUGCAACUGUUUAUUAAAAACACAGCACUGUGCAAACACGAAAGUGGACGUAUACGGUGUGACGCCUGCCCGGUGCCGGAAGGUUAAUUGAUGGGGUUAUCCGUAAGGAGAAGCUCUUGAUCGAAGCCCCGGUAAACGGCGGCCGUAACUAUAACGGUCCUAAGGUAGCGAAAUUCCUUGUCGGGUAAGUUCCGACCUGCACGAAUGGCGUAAUGAUGGCCAGGCUGUCUCCACCCGAGACUCAGUGAAAUUGAACUCGCUGUGAAGAUGCAGUGUACCCGCGGCAAGACGGAAAGACCCCGUGAACCUUUACUAUAGCUUGACACUGAACAUUGAGCCUUGAUGUGUAGGAUAGGUGGGAGGCUUUGAAGCGUGGACGCCAGUCUGCGUGGAGCCAACCUUGAAAUACCACCCUUUAAUGUUUGAUGUUCUAACGUUGGCCCCUUAUCGGGGUUGCGGACAGUGUCUGGUGGGUAGUUUGACUGGGGCGGUCUCCUCCCAAAGAGUAACGGAGGAGCACGAAGGUUAGCUAAUCCUGGUCGGACAUCAGGAGGUUAGUGCAAUGGCAUAAGCUAGCUUGACUGCGAGCGUGACGGCGCGAGCAGGUGCGAAAGCAGGUCAUAGUGAUCCGGUGGUUCUGAAUGGAAGGGCCAUCGCUCAACGGAUAAAAGGUACUCCGGGGAUAACAGGCUGAUACCGCCCAAGAGUUCAUAUCGACGGCGGUGUUUGGCACCUCGAUGUCGGCUCAUCACAUCCUGGGGCUGAAGUAGGUCCCAAGGGUAUGGCUGUUCGCCAUUUAAAGUGGUACGCGAGCUGGGUUUAGAACGUCGUGAGACAGUUCGGUCCCUAUCUGCCGUGGGCGCUGGAGAAUUGAGGGGGGCUGCUCCUAGUACGAGAGGACCGGAGUGGACGCAUCACUGGUGUUCGGGUUGUCAUGCCAAUGGCAUUGCCCGGUAGCUAAAUGCGGAAGAGAUAAGUGCUGAAAGCAUCUAAGCACGAAACUUGCCCCGAGAUGAGUUCUCCCUGAGACUUUAAGUCUCCUGAAGGAACGUUAAAGACGAUGACGUUGAUAGGUCGGGUGUGUAAGCGUAGCGAUACGUUGAGCUAACCGAUACUAAUGAACCGUGAGGCUUAACCU
rnacentral:rRNA from 1 species